ACUCCUACGGGAGGCAGCAGUGGGGAAUAUUGCACAAUGGGCGCAAGCCUGAUGCAGCCAUGCCGCGUGUAUGAAGAAGGCCUUCGGGUUGUAAAGUACUUUCAGCAGUGAGGAAGGUGGAGUUCAGUUAAUACGCGGCCUUCAUUUGACGUUUAGCUGCAGAAGAAGCACCGGCUAACUCCGUGCCAGCAGCCGCGGUAAUACGGAGGGUGCGAGCGUUAAUCGGAAUUACUGGGCGUAAAGCGCAUGCAGGUGGUUUGUUAAGUCAGAUGUGAAAGCCCGGGGCUCAACCUCGGAAUUGCAUUUGAAAACUGGCAAGACUAGAGUACUGUAGAGGGGGGUGAGAAUUUUCAGGGUGUAGCGGUGAAAAUGCGUAGAGAUCUGAAGGAAUACCGGUGGCGAAGGCGGCCCCCCUGGACAGAUACUGACACUCAGAUGCGAAAGCGUGGGGAGCAAAACAGGAUUAGAUACCCUGGUAGGAUAGCGU
rnacentral:rRNA from 1 species